rnacentral:rRNA from 1 species
AUUGAACGCUGGCGGCAGGCCUAACACAUGCAAGUCGAGCGGAUGAAGGGAGCUUGCUCCUGGAUUCAGCGGCGGACGGGUGAGUAAUGCCUAGGAAUCUGCCUGGUAGUGGGGGAUAACGUCCGGAAACGGGCGCUAAUACCGCAUACGUCCUGAGGGAGAAAGUGGGGGAUCUUCGGACCUCACGCUAUCAGAUGAGCCUAGGUCGGAUUAGCUAGAUGGUGGGGUAAAGGCCUACCAAGGCGACGAUCCGUAACUGGUCUGAGGGGAUGAUCAGUCACACUGGAACUGAGACACGGUCCAGACUCCUACGGGAGGCAGCAGUGGGGAAUAUUGGACAAUGGGCGAAAGCCUGAUCCAGCCAUGCCGCGUGUGUGAAGAAGGUCUUCGGAUUGUAAAGCACUUUAAGUUGGGAGGAAGGGCAGUAAGUUAAUACCUUGCUGUUUUGACGUUACCAACAGAAUAAGCACCGGCUAACUUCGUG